rnacentral:rRNA from 1 species
AUGAACGCUGGCGGCGUGCCUAAUACAUGCAAGUCGAGCGAACGGACGAGAAGCUUGCUUCUCUGAUGUUAGCGGCGGACGGGUGAGUAACACGUGGAUAACCUACCUAUAAGACUGGGAUAACUUCGGGAAACCGGAGCUAAUACCGGAUAAUAUUUUGAACCGCAUGGUUCAAAAGUGAAAGACGGUCUUGCUGUCACUUAUAGAUGGAUCCGCGCUGCAUUAGCUAGUUGGUAAGGUAACGGCUUACCAAGGCAACGAUGCAUAGACGACCUGAGAGGGUGAUCGGCCACACUGGAACUGAGACACGGUCCAGACUCCUACGGGAGGCAGCAGUAGGGAAUCUUCCGCAAUGGGCGAAAGCCUGACGGAGCAACGCCGCGUGAGUGAUGAAGGUCUUCGGAUCGUAAAACUCUGUUAUUAGGGAAGAACAUAUGUGUAAGUAACUGUGCACAUCUUGACGGUACCUAAUCAGAAAGCCACGGCUAACUACGUG